AGGAGGAGCCUACCUGCUGGUCCCGGAGGAGGACCUGCUGGUCCCGGAGGAGGACCUGCUGGACCCGGAGGAGGACUGGCCGCUAGACCGCACCGACGACGCCGGUUAAGCAUGGACCAGCCGCCUUCAUUGGAAGUGGAUUCGACCGGAGCGGAUCAACGCGUGGACGUCUGCGCACACACACACACUUCUUCGGUGGCUUAGCAAGAAAAAUAAUUGCGUUCAUGUGUAAACUCACCUCCAUGCAAUGAUGAACAAAGAACAAAGACAAUAAAACUUUCCAUUUAGCCUCUAGCGAUAUAAACCGGGGUCCCCCACACACAAACGUCCUAUGCUUAAUAAUCUUUUCCAAUCGAUUGAUCAUUUAGUGCCACUGCCAGUGAAAUAAGAAAUUGCGCUAGCGUUACAUUUUAGGUUAAAUAUUGACAUUGUUAAGAUCCUUGAAGUCCGUUCUUGUGUAAACUCACCUCCAUGUAAUGAUGAACACUGACAAUGAAAGACUCGUUGCUUAUU